CAAGGCAUAGGUGUGGUUGACCUUAUUAGACGGGACCUUGGCCCAUUUAGAGAUGCUCCAAUCCUUCACUCCAUUGGCACACAUCCUUCACAAAAAGUCACCCACCACCUUCCCCUUCUCAUCAUCAAUUUCCACCGUUUUUUAUUUAUUUUUUAGUGCAGUUUUUCUGAUUCAUUCCACCCUUCAAAGCCUUCAUAAAUGUUAGUGUAGCCCCUCCACAACAACCCCAUUAUGCCCAUCAAAACACUUUGAAUUAGUCCUUUCAUGUGAUUGAGGUUUGGGACAAUAACCUCUAAUGACAAAGUUGUUCAUCUCAUCCAAAACAAACCCCAAACUCAGUUUAGUUAAAUCUUGGUGGCAAGUACCACUCAUUCUUCAAGUGGGUCAUCAAACAAAGAGGUUGAUCAAGUUUUCAAAUUUGAAGCUUUAGAUGUUCAUGUUUGUAUUUGUGCAGUUGUU
rnacentral:lncRNA from 1 species